rnacentral:rRNA from 1 species
GAUGAACGCUGACAGAAUGCUUAACACAUGCAAGUCUUUGGCGAAGCUGUGCUUGCACAGCCUAGCCAAGGCGGACGGGUGAGUAACGCGUAAGGAACUUGCCCUGCAGUCAGGGAUAACAGACGGAAACGACUGAUAAGACCUGGUAAAGUCAGGCGGACUCAUGUCCAGCCUGAUGAAAAGAGAUGCUGCAGGAGAGCCUUGCGUCCUAUUAGCUUGUUGGUGGGGUAACGGCCCACCAAGGCGAUGAUAGGUAGCCGGCCUGAGAGGGUGGACGGCCACAAGGGGACUGAGAUACGGCCCUGACUCCUACGGGAGGUAGCAGUGGGGAAUAUUGGACAAUGGGGGCAACCCUGAUCCAGCAAUUCUGUGUGCACGAUGAAGGUUUUCGGAGUGUAAAGUGCUUUCAGCAGGGAAGAAAAAAAUGACGGUACCUGCAGAAGAAGCGACGGCUAAAUACGUG